GCAAGCUUCACGUGUCUCGACUUUGUCAAAGAACUUUGGCAAAGUUAUAUGUGGUACCCAUGAGCUACUGUUGCGUGUGGGAAGUGGGUGAUUGAACAGUACGAUUCAUGUGCUUUCUACUUCGCCAGAAAUCUUCGACAGAAUGCCCAUAAUUUCCGCAAAGCUGAGUGUGCGUGUGACAGGUGCUGACAAGGCUGGAAAAGUAGUCUCAACUUUGUCAGAGGACUUUGGCAAAGUUAUAUGUGGUACCCAUGAGCUACUGUUGCGUGUGGGAAGUGGGUGAUUGAACAGUACGAUUCAUGUGCUUUCUACUUCGCCAGAAAUCUUCGACAGAAUGCCCAUAAUUUCCGCAAAGCUGAGUAUGCGUGUGACAGGUGCUGACAAGGCUGGAAAAGUAGGUGCCUCUUCGAUUUCUGAGAUCGACCCUCGUGGUCUCUGAGCAGCCCAGCUUUUGAGAAAGCAAACCCCUUCGAUUUCUGAGAUCGGCCCUCGUGGUCUCUGAGCAGCCUAGCUUUUGAGAAAGCAAACCUCUUCGAUUUCUGAGAUCGGCCCUCGUGGUCUCUGAGCAGCCCAGCUUUUGAGAAAGCAAACGCCUCUUCGAUUUCUGAGAUCGACCCUCGUGGUCUCUGAGCAGCCCAGCUUUUGAGAAAGCAAACGCCUCUUCGAUUUCUGAAGCUUCGUCGAGUGCAGAUUUUUAUAGAGGCUGACAUUAAGUUCCAAAGCACACUUGAAUAUCCACCAGUAGAAGCUCCAUUCUUGCACUUCUAAG
rnacentral:lncRNA from 1 species